rnacentral:rRNA from 1 species
GAUGAACGCUGGCGGCGUGCCUAAUACAUGCAAGUCGAGCGAACAGACGAGGAGCUUGCUGCUCGGACGUGUGCGGCGGGCGGGUGAGUAACACGUGUAUAACCUACUUAUAAGACUGGGAUAACUUCGGGAAACCGGAGCUAACACCGGAUAAGCUAUUGAACCGCAGGGGUCAAUAGUGAAAUUCGGUUUUGCGGUCACGUAUAGAUGGAUCCGCGCCGCAUUAGCUAGUUGGUAAGGUAACGGCUUACCAAGGCAACGAUGCGUAGCCGACCGCAGAGAGUGAUCGGCCACACGAGAACUGAGCCGCGGUCAAGGCUCCUACGGGAGGCAGCAGUAGCGAACCUGACGCAAUAGGCGAAAGCCUGACGGAGCAACGCCGCGUGAGAGAUGACGGUCUUCGGAUCGUAAAACUCUGCUAUUAGGGAAGAACAAAUGUGUAAGUAAAUAUGCACGUCUUGACGGUAACUAAUCAGAAAGCAACGGCUAACUACGUG